rnacentral:rRNA from 1 species
CGGCGAGUGAAGCGGCAAUAGCUCAAAUUUGAAAGCUGGCACCUUCGGUGUCCGCGUUGUAAUUUGUAGAGGAUGCUUCGGCGAGGACUCCUGCCUAAGUUCCCUGGAAUGGGACGUCACAGAGGGUGAGAAUCCCGUAUGUGGCGGGCGGUCCAAGCCAUGUGAAGCUCCUUCGACGAGUCGAGUUGUUUGGGAAUGCAGCUCUAAAUGGGAGGUAAAUUUCUUCUAAAGCUAAAUACCGGCCAGAGACCGAUAGCGCACAAGUAGAGUGAUCGAAAGAUGAAAAGCACUUUGGAAAGAGAGUUAAAAAGUACGUGAAAUUGUUGAAAGGGAAGCGCUUGCAACCAGACUCGCUCGCAGUUGCUCAGCCCGCCUCUUGGUGGGUGUACUCUUCUGCGAUCGGGCCAGCAUCAGUUCGGGCGGCUGGAUAAAGGUGUCGGGAAUGUAGCACCCUUCGGGGUGUGUUAUAGCCCGGCGCGGAAUGCAGCCAGCCUGGACUGAGGAUCUCGCUUCGGCAAGGAUGCUGGCGUAAUGGUUGUAAGCGGCCCGUCUUGAAACACGGACCAAGGAGUCUAACAUCUAUGCGAGUGUUUGGGUGUCAAACCCAUGCGCGUAAUGAAAGUGAACGGAGGUGGGAACCCGUAAGGGUGCACCAUCGACCGAUCCUGAUGUCUUCGGAUGGAUUUGAGUAAGAGCAUAGCUGUUGGGACCCGAAAGAUGGUGAACUAUGCCUGAAUAGGGUGAAGCCAGAGGAAACUCUG